CCUACGGGUGGCAGCAGUAGGGAAUAUUGCUCAAUGGGGGAAACCCUGAAGCAGCAACGCCGCGUGGAGGAUGACGGUUUUCUGAUUGUAACCUCCUUUUUUUAGAGCAGAUAAUGACGGUAUCUACCUCAUCCUCCCCGUCUCACUCCGGUCCAGCACCCGCGGUACUACGGAGGGUGCCAGCGUUAAUCGGAAUCGCUGGGCGUAACGAGCGCGUAGUCGGGAUAGCAAGUCAGCUGUGAAAUGCUAUGGCUUAACCAUAGAACUGCAGUUGCACCUGUUAGUCUAGAGUAGGGGAGAGGUAGGUGGAAUUCGUGGUGUAGGGGUGAAAUCCGUAGAGAUCAAGAGGAAUACUAAUUGCGAAGGCGACCUGCUAGAAAAUAACUGACGCUGAUGCGCGAAAGCGUGGGGAGCAAACAGGAUUAGAUACCCCUGUAGUC
rnacentral:rRNA from 1 species